rnacentral:tRNA from 1 species
UGGCGUCCCGACCGAGAUUUGAACUCGGGUCUAAGGCUCCGCAGGCCUCAAGGAUAUCCACUACCCUAUCGGGAC